rnacentral:lncRNA from 1 species
GUUGACAAAGAAGUAGUAGAAGGAAAAAAGGAACCAGGAUACAUCCGGGCUCCAACAAAAGAAUCCUCUGAAGAGGAGUAUGACUCUGGAGUUGAAGAAGAAGGAUGGCCCCGCCAAGCAGAUGCUGCAAACAGCUAAACUGUCAUAUUGCUGUCUUGUAUAUACAGCUUUUCCUUCUUUUGUUUAGGAUCAUAAUUGUCUCUACAGUCUGAUAUUAAAGGCAUUGGAUCUAUCUUGGAUAUCAUACAUGGUCAGAGAAGCCUUUAGGAGAAGAAUCAGAUCAUGUAUAUAAUUGUAACAUCACAUUGAUUUUACGGAAGAUGUUAUAUGGACUUUAAUGACACAAUGUUUAGAGAUAAAAUGUACAUUAUUUUGGUUCAGUUUUUUAAAAAAAAUAUGCUUUAACAAAAUUCUUAGGAAUUCUUUUAAGCAAUGCAGGUAUUGCGAUAACUGUAGAUUUUACAAUAAUGUUACUCUACAAAUGGGAAAAUAAAUUCUUU